AAAUAGCUCUUGAAUGGUAAAACAUAUUGAAACAUAACUGAGAAUUACUUGCAGGAGGGAAAUGGUAGCUUAAUGGUGGAGAUGUUGGACUACAGGUUAAAAGUUUAAAUCCCAGCACCAACAAGCUGCCAUUGCUAAGUCCAUAAGUGAGGUCCUUACCCAUCCUCUGCUCAUCUGUAUAAAUCCUUUGGAUAAGGACAUCUGCCAAAUUCUGUAGAUGUAAAUGGCAUUUAAACGAGUAUGCUUUCUCUCUGCUCUCUGCCUGAUGGUGAUUACACUGCAACAAUAUUACCUUCAUGUGCAUGACUUCUGUCACAUUUCUCCAUAUUUUGCUUCCCUUUUAUGUGUAAUGUUCACUUAAUCCCCUGUGACCUGCUGAAGCAGCGGCAAACACGAACACAACAUGAACAAUGGCGGAUGUUGCUUUACUGUUAAUGCUCAUGGCUUUGCGAACCAACAUUGGCAUCCAAACGCGGCGAAUCCAACGUGUAUGUGCAGUUCCGUGUAAUCUGUAUAAACAGAGGUUGCAAUCAAGAAAGUACAUAACAUUAUUUUAUCAUUAACACAGAAAAAGUUAGCCUUAGCAUGUAGCUACCUACUAUCAUAUGUGCUGAUAAUUGAUCAUAUUGCGGUAAAGUAAAAGUGCAUUAAACAUUGGUAUACUUAAAGGCGCGGUGCACAAUGUUUGGAAAAUGCUUCAGAAAACUGGUUGAGACCGCUUGGUAGGACUUUGGGCUGUUUUAACCCAAGUUUGGGUUGAAAAUUGUCUUGAGCUAUAACCCAGCGGCGCUGGGUUGGGAACACGGACGUGAAAGAGAGCAUGCAGGUCAACGUGAAAAUCGGACGACACCAGUGCGAGAAGCCGCCAUUUUCUUUGCGUCUUCAGAUAAAAGCGAGUGAAAUUCUGAAUACCGACAGUGAACAGGAGAGCGCGCGUGGCACUUCAUCGGCGCUUGGAAGGAAUAAGUUGACGGCAGCAAGCACUGUUCCCUGGUGUGGCAGUUUCUACAGACUGUGGUGUAUGGACUUCUUGGGGAGGAGACACCAGCAGUAAGAGUUCUGCGAGCAUUAAUUUUUGCAGACAAACUAACUUUUUUGUUUUUUUCAUUAUUAAUUAAACUGUGUAUAGUUAAUUAACUUUAAUUAUUAUUACUGCAACCUGACUGCUUCAUUGGAUUCUGUGUUUUUUAACUUGUACACUGUUACAUGAAAUGAUUUCAUAUUUCACAUAUUUUAAUUGGAAGUAAAUUUUCCUGACUGCAGUCAGUUUGAUGCAUGUUCAUUAUUCUAAAUGAUUCUAUUUUUCUUAUACAACACAAUUGAUGAUUCUUACUGAUGAUUCUUAUAUCUUCAGAUACUGAGGUUUAUGUAAAUGUUAUGAAAUGUUUUCAUAAUUAAAAUUUGUAUUCUUAAAGUA